rnacentral:rRNA from 1 species
GUGGAUUAGAUACCCUGGUAGUCCACGCCCUAAACGAUGUCUACUAGUUGUUGGUGGAGUAAAAUCCAUGAGUAACGCAGCUAACGCGUGAAGUAGACCGCCUGGGGAGUACGGUCGCAAGAUUAAAACUCAAAGGAAUUGACGGGGGCCCGCACAAGCGGUGGAUUAUGUGGAUUAAUUCGAUGCAACGCGAAAAACCUUACCUGGCCUUGACAUGUAGCGAACUUUCCAGAGAUGGAUUGGUGCUCGAAAGAGAACGCUAACACAGGUGCUGCACGGCCGUCGCCAGCU